rnacentral:rRNA from 1 species
CAGCAGCCGCGGUAAUACGAAGGGGGCUAGCGUUGUUCGGAUUUACUGGGCGUAAAGGGUGCGUAGGCGGACUGAUAAGUCAGGGGUGAAAUCCCAAGGCUCAACCUUGGAACUACCUUUGAUACUGUUAGUCUUGAGUUCGAGAGAGGUGAGUGGAACUGCGAGUGUAGAGGUGAAAUUCGUAGAUAUUCGCAAGAACACCAGUGGCGAAGGCGGCUCACUGGCUCGAAACUGACGCUGAGGCACGAAAGCGUGGGGAGCAAACAGGAUUAGAUACCCGAGUAGUCCCUGUCUCUUAUAC